AUUGAACGCUGGCGGCAUGCCUUACACAUGCAAGUCGAACGGUAACGGGCCUUCGGGUGCCGACGAGUGGCGAACGGGUGAGUAAUACAUCGGAACGUGCCCGAUCGUGGGGGAUAACGGGGCGAAAGCUUUGCUAAUACCGCAUACGAUCUACGGAUGAAAGCAGGGGACCGCAAGGCCUUGCGCGGACGGAGCGGCCGAUGGCAGAUUAGGUAGUUGGUGGGAUAAAAGCUUACCAAGCCGACGAUCUGUAGCUGGUCUGAGAGGAUGAUCAGCCACACUGGGACUGAGACACGGCCCAGACUCCUACGGGAGGCAGCAGUGGGGAAUUUUGGACAAUGGGCGCAAGCCUGAUCCAGCCAUGCCGCGUGCAGGAUGAAGGCCUUCGGGUUGUAAACUGCUUUUGUACGGAACGAAAAGCCUUCUUUUAAUACAGGAUGGUCAUGACGGUACCGUAAGAAUAAGCACCGGCUAACUACGU
rnacentral:rRNA from 1 species